rnacentral:lncRNA from 1 species
GCCAUCCAGCCCAACCUCCUCCCAGGCAGGAAAGGCACCUCAAAGCACCCCGACUGGAUCGCCUCUGCUUAGAAGCCUCCAAAGAAGGCGCUUCCACCACACUCCCAGGCAGAGAGGGCCAUUGAUGAACAGCUCUUACAGUCAGGAAGUUCUUCCUAAUGUUCAGGUAACAUAUUGUGGCCUCUGAGAAAAGUGUGUGCAGGUUUUGGACCUCUUUCGGUUGCAUAUUUCCAUUAAAGGUCGGUUUGAUCCCUAUGUUGCUAUCAUUCUAGCUUCAAGAGAAAGGUUGUUCACGAAGGCUUCGGUGUCCUAAUUUUUUACAUAAAGUCUGACAUUUACAUGGUAUUAAAUAGGUUUCAAUUAUUUUAACUGGUUUUUACCUCUUUUUAAAAUUUGUUGAGAUGUUUUGUUAAAUUAAUGUGUUUUCAGCCUUUUAAGAGAUGAGCCAUACUAUUCUGGAGAUGAGUUGAAUCACUCUGAUUCUCUUCCAGUGAUGAAUUUAAAAAGUGAAGGAGUCCCCCAAAUAGCAGCUUUUGGGAUGUUAUGAAAGUGCUGGAAAUUAUCUCCUGUUUAUUAUUUUGCUGGCAUACCCAGAGAGAAGUGGGAAUCAAAUAACUUAUGUAAUACAAAUAAUAAAUAAACCCAAAGCAACAUACAUAUUUUAGGACAAUAUAUAAAAUGCAAGAUACAGUACAAUAUGAUGAGAAAUGAUGGUGUUACAUGACAAAUUACAAAGAUGUCUCAUCUCAUUCAAAAGUAUGCAACAAUUUCUGUGAAAAAAUGUACAACAGUGAACUAUAAUACAUGAAGCCAUAUACAAAAUGUAUUCAUACUGAAAAGUCCAUGUCAGAUUCCGUUUUGAGAUUUCUCUACUGCAGUUGAUCUUCAUAGGCAGUACCUCCGAUUGCCUUUUGCCACAUUGAGAUUAGUCAACACCUGAACGCCAGUCCAUUCUUCUCUGCUUUUAAAUCAGAGUUAAAUAUAAAAACAAUCCUCCCAACAAGAAGUAUCAAAGAUGAUAUUCCACUUGCAAAUUAAGACUCAAUAAAUUAUAACGGGUGGUAACCUCCACUUAGUUUCUCAAAGUAUCCUACAAUGGUAUGUGAUUCAAUAUUCAAUAUUAAUUCAAACUUCGUCCACCCCCAUCCAACACACUGCAGCAUAUAGUACAGUCAGCCACUAACAUUUACACAUUAGACUUUUGUGGAAUUUAU